rnacentral:rRNA from 1 species
UACAGAGGGUCCCAAGCGUUACUGAGAAUCACUGGGUUUAAAGGGUGCGUAGGUGGUCCGUUAAGUCAGUUGUGAAAUCCCCCGGGCUCAACCCGGGAACUGCUUCUGAUACUGGCGGACUUGAGGCCAGUAGGGGUCACUAGAACUGACGGUGGAGCGGUGAAAUGCGUAGAUAUCGUCAGGAAUGCCGGUGGUGAAGACGGGUGACUGGGCUG